rnacentral:lncRNA from 1 species
GUUGGAAGAAGAAGCUUAACAGUGACAAAGAUGCUGUCUUCAACAGAAACUGGGAGUCUGCUUCAGAUUAAGAUGAAGAUGAAGAGUAGAAGUACAUGGAACCCCACUCUUCUUAGACCCCCUGCCCCCCAGUCAUGAACACAUACAGAAGAAUUCAUACGUGUGGUUCCUGAAAACCUAUCAGGAUGUUCACUGAUGGAAGUGAGAUCAUUAGAGGGUGAAAACUUCACAUGGUGUUUAUUCAGUUUCAAAUAAAGAAUCCUCUGUAAAUGGAUUCAAA